CCGCAAGCCCGUGGUGGCUGAAAGGCCUUCUGUGCAGCUGGAGAAACAAAUGUACAAAUGGGACUGACAGGCGGAGAAAAUUUCACUGAAAGGAUAAAGCACGUAGCAGUUGCCAAACCUCCGUUCAGGAAUUCUCCAGCCAGCGAUGUUGUGAUGUGGGUGCAGAGCCCUCCAUCUUCAGGUCCAGCCUGCGCUUUCAGGGAGCGCUGGUUAUGGCCCGCUCCCACCUCGGCUCCCUCUCCCAGGCUUGCCCUCUGCUGUAGGGCCCCGCUCUCUGGAGGAAGCAUGCAUCCAAUGACUGGCCCCUAGCCUCAAGCCGGCAUGACCCUGAGGGCCAUGCUCGCUGCAGAGUCCCCACGGGACACAGAGGUGCUGUUCCUGGGGGCGCUUUCCAGGAAAUCUGAGGGUUUCCCAGGGAAACUGACCUAAGAAGUGGUCUCAUUUAAGUAAUUCACUUUAUACCAGUUUUUGUAAUACAGUAACAAAACAGA